rnacentral:sRNA from 1 species
GGAUGUUAGCCUUAUCGCUCUUUCAGACGGUAGUCAAUAAAAACAGCUUCCUUAGACGAUCUUCAGAGAAACAGCUUGUGUGCAUAUACUUUUUUUCCGGGGUGGAAAAGGGUUAUACAUAAACUUUGGCAAGUGGGGAGGAGUGUUCAGGGAGAAAGAAAUCACUGGCUGGAAUUUAAAGUCCUGUCAACACCUCAUAUGUGUGGAGAGGCAACGCAGAAAUCCCAGUCAAAGCUUCUGCAAGAUCUGGGAUGGCAUUGGAUCACGCAGGCCUUUGUAAGAGCUUCCACCACGGGAUUCAUUGUCACAACUCACAGGACCUAAGGAUGCUUUAUGUGCCUAAGGUCAUGGCCUCACAUCCCUACAUCCUCAGUGAUCCACAGCUCAGGGCCAAGCUGAACCUUCUAUUGCAAGAUCCUGCUACGGUUACGGAUUCAGAGAGCAUUUCCAACAAGUGAGUCAUCACCCAGGCCGUUGGCCUCAAGGAGACCUGGAACAAGUUUGUGGCAGUUCUGAUGUACCAGCUGCUCUCUGACUCCAAUGCUUCAUGGUGCCCAUGAGAACUGAGCAUCUGCUGUUCCGGGCCUUGUGACUCUGCAUCCAUGACUCAGACUGCCUCCCAACUUGCCAAGUCUCUCUACUGCUGUUUUCUAUCUUUACUCUCAGUUGCUACCUCAGUUUUUCUUCCUUCUCUGAUCCCUGCAGGGCAUGAGGCUGAAUGAUUAGCCAAUCCUUUCCAGUGGCAUAGUCUCUGUAGGUACCAAGGGUCUCCACCUAAAUCCAGUGAGGUCAAAAGCCUCUGGUCUGCUUCCCUACAUGUAGUUACUUUGGUCAGUACUGUUUUCCUGUAUUAUCCAUGUGAGCAGAAUGGCACGGGCUGUGACACACUUCAUGGUAGAAUCUGGAACCUGUGGGGAUGUGUGGGUGGCUGAGUACUUGAAGUCCCUGAGUCAGUCAUUGUGGUUAUCCAUGGCUCUGCCAUGGGGCAGCAGCACCCUUGACUGACCCUUUUCUCUUUGUAUAUUUGUAGGUUGCCUUUAGGGCACACCUCUCUACAGCAGUAAGAAUUCCUGUGCAUGUACUUUAUACCAACAGUCCCUCCCCCAAGGUUUGGCUGUCUUGCUGAUAAUGCAAAAAUAUUACCAGAACUACAGUUAAAUAUAUACUCAGGGUCAACGGUUAACUCCACAAAGAUGAAAAGAAAAAAAUCUGUUGAUGAAGUAAAGCUGGGGGAGGGCAUGGCUUCGACAAAGUUCCCAUCAUGCUCCAGCAUGGCUGAGGCAGGUUUCAGAAGGUGGGUCCUGGCUGGAAUGAGGAGACAUCCAAGUUUGCAUUCGUGGGUUCAAGAGCGUGAGGGUCUAGGAAGAGCUUGAUGAGUAAUCCGUACUAGCUGUUGGCAAACCACUCCACUGCCUACUCUUCCAGGACUAAGAGUUUUCUGGAGUAAGUGAUGAAUUUAUUUCGGCUCAAUCUCAGCAUUAGUUAGCACGGGGCCCACAAACUCUGAUUCUUAGUGAUGUAUUUGUAACAUCUUAAAGUAACUUCUCACGCUCUCCACCAAUCAUAAAGCCACCGUGGGAGGCUUUGUGCAGGUUAUAAUAGAGUGCUAUCAGUUUGCUGUUAUUGUUGUUUGUUUUUCUUUCUUCCUUUUUUUAAAUUCCUAUAAGACAGUGGGAUGCCAUAUUUUUGGGGUACUUUUCAUUCUCUUGAUUUUUGUGACACAGGGAACAUCUCAAUUUAAUAGUUUGUAAAAUGGGGAUAAUUCUACCAAUUGUGAUGAGGAUUAAACAGCUUAUAUAAGUA